rnacentral:rRNA from 1 species
CCUACGGGCGGCAGCAGUGGGGAAUAUUGGACAAUGGGCGAAAGCCUGAUCCAGCCAUGCCGCGUGUGUGAAGAAGGCCUUCGGGUUGUAAAGCACUUUCAGUGGGGAAGAAAGCCUUGGGGCUAAUACCCUCGAGGAAGGACAUCACCCACAGAAGAAGCACCGGCUAACUCCGUGCCAGCAGCCGCGGUAAUACGGAGGGUGCGAGCGUUAAUCGGAAUUACUGGGCGUAAAGCGCGCGUAGGCGGUCUGAUAAGCCGGUUGUGAAAGCCCCGGGCUCAACCUGGGAACGGCAUCCGGAACUGUCAGGCUAGAGUGCAGGAGAGGAAGGUAGAAUUCCCGGUGUAGCGGUGAAAUGCGUAGAGAUCGGGAGGAAUACCAGUGGCGAAGGCGGCCUUCUGGACUGACACUGACGCUGAGGUGCGAAAGCGUGGGUAGCAAACAGGAUUAGAUACCCGAUAGUC